UGCAUGUCUCGUCUUGUUUACAGUUGUAUUUAUUAUAUGAAUAGGUAAUUUCUCGAAAAACUGAAAGGAUUUCUUGGUGAAUUGGUGGUAAAGUGUGCUAACUCUGUGAUUUUUGAAUCGAGAUUCAAUUCGUUUUUAUUUUACGACGCCGAUCAAUCUUGUGAUUGGUAUCAUGAAAUUAAGCCGUAUCAGACCUGUUGGCACAGAGCUGCAGAAAGGUCAGAGAGUUUUGUCAAGGCGAUCGAAAAUCUUUCGAGAGACCAAGUCAAAUCAUGCCAACCUGGAGCCUUCUCCGUCUACAGUUACAUGAAUGAAUGUGGAGUCCAUGAGGACCCAAAGGAAGAAAUUCAAGCCAGUGACGAUGCAAUUUUUCUCAAAAUCACUACCUGAUCCUUGAAUUCUUGGAAUUUGUCUAUUCUUGCACAGAGUGAAGAAUGCCUCACAGUGUGGAAUAUUUUGGAAGACCAUGUGCAAAGAAGGUACAGAUUAUUCUUAUUUUUUGGCAUGCUGAAAUAGAUAAGAACAUUUGUGAGAGGCUUUACGGGGAAAAAAAGGUUAAAA
rnacentral:lncRNA from 1 species